CCAGGUGAUUAUUGUGAAGAGGUUAUACCCGUUCCCAUUCCGAACACGGAAGUCAAGCUCUUUUACGCCGAUGAUACUGCUGCAACAGUGGGAAAGUAGGUAGUUGCCUGGC
rnacentral:rRNA from 1 species